UACGUAGGGUGCGAGCGUUGUCCGGAAUUAUUGGGCGUAAAGAGCUCGUAGGCGGUCUGCCGCGUCUGCUGUGAAAACCCGAGGCUCAACCUCGGGCCUGCAGUGGGUACGGGCAGACUAGAGUGCGGUAGGGGAGAAUGGAAUUCCUGGUGUAGCGGUGGAAUGCGCAGAUAUCAGGAGGAACACCGAUGGCGAAGGCAGUUCUCUGGGACCGUAACUGACGCUGAGGAGCGAAAGCGUGGGGAGCGAACAGG
rnacentral:rRNA from 1 species